GCAAGAAAGAUGAACCCCAAACUCAGAUCGCAAUGCCAAACCCUAACUCCCAAAUCCAUGUCAAUCCGUUCUACAAAUUGAACCCAAAAUCUGAUAUACAAGAACUGAAAACGCGAGAAGGAUAGACCACAACACAAAUCUCUAACCCAAACCCUAAACCUCAAAUCAAAAUGUAAACUUUACGUAGAAUAAACCCAAAAUCCCAUUGUUGAAGCUAAGAACCAUGAGAAGGCUGAACCAUUAAACCCAAUAUUGCAAAGCCGAACCUUGAUUCCCAAAUCAAUUUCAGACAUCCAUUGGAGAACUCCCAAAACCUGACAUAUGAGUUGCAUACCGAACGAUAGCCAACCAUGGGAUGAGAAACAAACUGCAGUUUGAGAAACAGAGAAAGCAGUAGUUUGAAGAGACAUAGAUAUCUUCUUGAUACAAGGUAUUUGAAUUGGCCACAAGAAUUGCAAAUUGUACAUUAAAGGAACUAUCCCAUGGAUGUUGAAAUGAUGGACGGAAUCCAUUCGGUGGCCUUUAUAGUGAAACGGAAGUAAGUUCAAUGGCAAUUGGGAAGCAUUGUUGAGUUCAGUGGCUAAUCCGUGACGAUGUGUAAAGUACAAUGGUUAAUUAAACAAUUAACUCAUGAAAUGACAUGAGACAUAUACUGGAAAGGUUUCUGCAUCCAGGAUUUUAUCUAUUCUUUUAUAUAGUUUAAAUUAAAAUUUAUUAGAUGUACUGAAGUUGAUGUUUGGCAAA